GUGACGCGGUAACAGCUGCGGCCUGAGUCACUGGGCCCGGCGCGGGGUGGGCCGAGCCCCCCGCCCGGCCAGGGCCACGUGGCCCCUACCCGGAAGAAGGCGCCCACCCCCGCAAAGGGAAAGCCGCAAGGGCAAGACCUCGGGGCGCCUGGGGCCCCCCUCUGGCGCUAUACCUCCGUGCCAACUCGGGGUAGGAGAGCGGGGCGGAGCGCAGCCUGGGUCACUCUGGUUCAGAGAAGCGGACGAGGGAUCCUAGUCUGAGAAAAGGGGAGGAAGCCCUUCCCCGAAGCCACGCUACCCAGUCAAUCAAGACACGUCCGCGUCGGGUCCCGCCCUCUGGGGGAGGAUUGACAAGGUCUGUGCUUCCAGCCUCCCAGACAGCUCCUGCAUCCGUCUGUGAUAGCGAGGGCUUGGGGGAAGACACGAAGGCAGGAGAGGCUUACAUCCUCUGGAUUUCCCCGUCUUAUCCCAGAAGACAAAGCCAGGUGAGGGCUGGAAGCGGGCUAGGGGGAUCAAGCUGCCUCCCUCCCUUGUGUGCCAGGGGUGGUCCCCAGAAGGAGCUGAUCUGAACAGGCCGGAGAGUAGGACCGGCCGUCACACCCCCACACCUCCAGCCUCGGCCCCACUCCUUGGGCUCUUAAGGUCCUGCCUCAAGAACCACUUCCUGAGUCUUAGUGUAUGUGUGUACACAAAGAAUGAAAGAAGUCUCUAGAGCUAAAGGAAGGAGAUCCGGGCUGGGCUGAGAAGCAUCUUCCAGGAUCACGGCCUUCCCGCGGGACACACCAAGCCCAUUCCGGAUCUUGCUCUUCCUGACCAUGGCUGGCAGGCUGUGGAGGAGGAGCGGAGAGCAGAAGAAAGGAGUAUUCAUCAGGUUCCUUAUUGUGCUGCCACUAGAUGCCAGGCAUGUGCUAGGCUUGGGGGCUGCAAGGAGAGGAAGACAGCGGCCCUGCCCUCUGCUAGCAGGCAGAACCGAGUUCUGGCCACACUGUGAAGAAAGGCAGAAGCCUGCGGUGGCAGCUGGUUAAGCUCAGAGGGAGGGAAAGGGAGAGGAGAAUGGAUUUCACGGAGCAGAAGGAUGUGCUCAAGGUGACCUUGGAGAAUAAAGGGGAGAGCUCCAGGGACAGAGAAGCAGUCGACUGUGGAAAAAAAAGGAGCAUUUUGUAAAGUACAUGGCAGGUUGGGGUUGGCUGGCUCAAAGGGCUUGGGACGGAUGUGGUGAGAUGGGCUGAAGGUGGUCUGAAGAUCAAGAUUGAGAGACUAGAUACAUAA
rnacentral:lncRNA from 1 species